CCUGGUCUCCAUGCAGGAGUGGCCAGAUCAGUGUCCGGUUGUUAUCCUGGUGUUAUCCCGGUGUUAUCCUGGUCUCCAUGCAGGAGCAGCCAGGCCAGUGUCUGGUUGUUAUCCCAGUGUUAUCCCAGUGCUAUCCCAGUGUUAUCUCAAUGCUAUCCUGGUGUUAUCCCGGUGUUAUCCCGGUCUCUGUGCAGGAACAGCCAGGUCAGUACCCAGUUGUUGUCCCCGUGCUAUCCUGGUGCUAUCCCGGUGCUAUUCCUGUGUUAUCCCGGUGCUAUCCCAGUGUUAUCCCGGUGUUAUCCCAGUGAUAUCCCAGUCUCCAUGCAGGAAUUGCCAGGUGGUUAUCCCAGUGUUAUCCCGGUGUUAUCCCGGUGCUAUCCCAGUCUCCAUGCAGGAAUGGCCAGGUGAUUAUCCCAGUUUUAUCCCGGUGUUAUCCCGGUGCUGUCCCAGUCUCCAUGCAGGAGCAGCUGGCCCAUUGCAGCCCGGAGCAGGUGCCAGCUGUGCUGCUGAAUGCAGAGGGGCCACCCCAAGCCCCGUUGAUCCUUUAAAGGAAUGGAUAAAUCCAUCAGCUCCCAAACCCCAGCUCACCCCCGCUGCCCAAACCGUGUCCAUGGCAGGGCCUGGAUGAUCCCAGGGCUGAUUUCCCAGGCACUGCUGUUCCUCAGGCUUGGUGACACCGCUGUGGCAGCUCUGUGUGUCCCCAAAGGAGCCUGUGGGGAUUAUUUUGAUGUCACCCACUGGGGCCAGGAGCUGAGCAGCAGCUGGUGCUGCAAACUGAUGACUGCAUGGAAAAGAGCUGGAGUUAACCUGGCAUCUCCUCUCCAAUCCCCCAAAGAAC